rnacentral:rRNA from 1 species
GAGUUUGAUUAUGGCUCAGAUUGAACGCUGGCGGCAGGCUUAACACAUGCAAGUCGAACGGAAGUUACUAGCUUGCUAGUAACUUUAGUGGCGAACGGGUGAGUAACAUUUAGGAAUCUGCCUCAUAACGGGGGAUAGCUCGGGGAAACUCGAAUUAAUACCGCAUACACCCUACGGGGGAAAGGUGGCGCAAGCUGCCGAUAUGAGAUGAGCCUAAAUCAGAUUAGCUAGAUGGUGGGGUAAAGGCCUACCAUGGCGACGAUCUGUAACUGGUCUGAGAGGAUGAUCAGUCACACCGGAACUGAGACACGGUCCGGACUCCUACGGGAGGCAGCAGUGGGGAAUAUUGGACAAUGGGCGAAAGCCUGAUCCAGCCAUGCCGCGUGUGUGAAGAAGGCCAUAAGGUUGUAAAGCACUUUAAGCAGGGAGGAAGAACUUUUAGUUAAUAGCUAAAAAGUGG